GUCGGUGAUCUUACCGCGGGGGUUCCACCCGUUCCCAUCCCGAACACGGAAGUUAAGCCCCGGGCAUUAAAUAAAAGCCAUGCUGAGAAAUCAGCAUGGCCUUUU
rnacentral:rRNA from 1 species